rnacentral:rRNA from 1 species
UGGGGAAUCUUGGGCAAUGGGCGAAAGCCUGACCCAGCAACGCCGCGUGAAGGAUGAAGUAUUUCGGUAUGUAAACUUCGAAAGAAUAGGAAGAAUAAAUGACGGUACUAUUUAUAAGGUCCGGCUAACUACGUGCCAGCAGCCGCGGUAAUACGUAGGGACCAAGCGUUGUUCGGAUUUACUGGGCGUAAAGGGCGCGUAGGCGGCAAUUCAAGUCAUCUGUGAAAUCUCCGGGCUUAACUCGGAACGGUCAGAUGAUACUGCUUUGCUAGAGUGCAGAAGGGGCAAUCGGAAUUCUUGGUGUAGCGGUGAAAUGCGUAGAUAUCAAGAGGAACACCUGAGGUGAAGACGGGUUGCUGGGCUGACACUGACGCUGAGGCGCGAAAGCCAGGGGAGCAAACGGGAUUAGAUACCCACGUAGUCCCUGAG